rnacentral:tRNA from 1 species
GGGCGCUUAGCUCAGUUGGUAGAGCAACUCGUUUACACCGAGAAGGUCGGGGGUUCAAAUCCCUCAGCGCCCACCA